rnacentral:rRNA from 1 species
UACGGGGGGUGCGAGCGUUGUCCGGAUUCACUGGGCGUAAAGGGCGCGUAGGCGGCUUUAUCAGUCGGGCCUAUAAGUGCGGGGCUCAACCCCGUGACGGGUCCGGGACGGUAAGGCUGGGGCGCGGCAGAGGGGGACGGAAUGCCGGGUGUAGUGGUGAAAUGCGUAGAGAUCCGGCGGAACACCGGUGGCGAAGGCGGGUCUCUGGGCCGAUACUGACGCUGAGGAGCGAAAGCGUGGGGAGCGAACAGG